UCCAGACUCCUACGGGAGGCAGCAGUGGGGGAUAUUGGACAAUGGGGGAAACCCUGAUCCAGCGACGCCGCGUGAGUGAAGAAGUAUUUCGGUAUGUAAAGCUCUGUCAGCAGGGAAGAAAGAAAUGACGGUACCUGACCAAGAAGCCCCGGCUAACUACGUGCCAGCAGCCGCGGUAAUACGUAGGGGGCAAGCGUUAUCCGGAAUUACUGGGUGUAAAGGGAGCGUAGACGGUGAUGCAAGUCUGGAGUGAAAGGCGGGGGCCCAACCCCCGGACUGCUCUGGAAACUGUACGGCUGGAGUGCAGGAGAGGUAAGUGGAAUUCCUAGUGUAGCGGUGAAAUGCGUAGAUAUUAGGAGGAACACCAGUGGCGAAGGCGGCUUACUGGACUGUAACUGACGUUGAGGCUCGAAAGCGUGGGGAGCAAACAGGAUUAGAUACCCGAGUA
rnacentral:rRNA from 1 species